UACGGAGGGUCCAAGCGUUAUUCGGAAUUACUGGGCGUAAAGCGCAUGUAGGUGGUUUACUAAGUCAGAUGUGAAAGCCCUGGACUCAAUCCAGGAAGUGCAUUUGAUACUGGUAGACUAGAGUGCAGGAGAGGAAAGCGGAAUUCCAGGUGUAGAGGUGAAAUUCGUAGAUAUCUGGAGGAACAACAGAGGCGAAGGCGGCUUUCUGGACUGCAACUGACACUGAGAUGCGAAAGCGUGGGGAGCAAACAGG
rnacentral:rRNA from 1 species